rnacentral:rRNA from 1 species
UACGUAGGGGGCGAGCGUUGUCCGGAGUACUGGGCGUAAAGCGCACGCAGGCGGUCCGUUAAGUUUGGAGUGACAGUUGGUGGCUCAACCACCAAAGUGCUUUGAAAACUGGCAGACUUGGAGGGCUUCAGAGGGACACGGAAUUCCUGGUGUAGCGGUGAAAUGCGUAGAUAUCAGGAGGAACACCUGUGGUGUAGACAGCUUACGUGGACCAUAACUGACGGCUGAGGCACGAAAGCGUGGGUAGC